GAUCCUUCUUUUAUGGAGUCUUUUCUCUAAACCCAGAUCUCUAGAUACGGUUUUAUGGAGAAUGAUGGUUCCUGAUGUCCAAAAUGAAGUAAAGCAGCUGACAGAAGCCUCAACUCAUCCCACUCUCAAAGACAUCUGCAUAUCUAACUGCAGUGGCAUCUACAUGUCUUCUGGGAGUACACAAGUUUGUGUUCAUCUUUUGUUCUUGUGUUGGGCUCUACCGAAAAGAGCCUGGCUCCAUCAUCUUUGCACCCUCCCUUCAAGGGUGCAGGAUUGUAUGCUUCUUGUUGAACAUCACUACCAUCAACCCAAAAGAGGUUCCCUCUUGUUCUGUCAUUUCUGGUUUGAGUCUUUAUUAAAUGAAA